rnacentral:misc_RNA from 1 species
AUAUAACUGUACGGUUCGAAACUAUGUACGUUACAUAGGCACAUGCGUGUAACCUACGUUUGCGCGACGUGACUCGGGGAAAAAAAAAAAUGAAUCAUAACCCGAAUUUAUUUCGCGAUCGUCUCGAGAAAAAAGCUAGGAGAAAACUAUCGAACUCUUGUUUCCCCUAAGAUACCGCGUAAUCCGAUGUGCAUUUUGAGGUGCGAUCUUUGCACACGCAAUGCACGGCCUCAUUCGUUUUGUAUUUCCAGCCCGACUACGAGUGCAGAUUAAUUUAUCGUCAAUUCAUACAAACGUGAACGGCUCACUGAGAUCCGACAUUUUUCUCAAUUUCACAUCGAAAAUUUUUUCGACUUCCUUGGGCGUCUUUUUUGUUUUAUUGUUUCGUCGAUUCUCAUCCUGCCGGCGGAAUUCAUUCUACAAAUUUCGCGAGACUGUGUUCAAAUCCUUUGACGUGAGAUUUUUCGAUCGAAAUAUCAUCGUCGAGGCUCCGAGCUCGUUGCAUGCGAAAAAAAAAUUACCGCUGCACUCGGUUUUCUUCACACUUGAAAAAAAAAAUUGGAAAAAUAUUCUUUCACCACCAAAUAAUUUGCGAAAACAAAAAAUAUCCGUUGAGCAGCGGUGGUGGGUCGAUCCGAUAAAAUAAAUUAUAGAAAGGAGGAGG